AUCUAUAAUAGUGGCCCGACCUCAUUUUAUUUCCUACAACACAGUGGCCUUCUCAACGCUAUUUUAACCUUUAAAUCUUUUUUUCAACCAGCACAUAGAUUCGCAUAAUUGAGAGACGUAAAAAUUUUAAGCUUAACACGUCGUUACAUUUCUUUUAAGAAAUGAUUCUCAGCUAACAGUGUGGCAUUACCGGGCUUGCAGAGAUCCGCGUAACCAUGGGCACGUCAGCGCGCGAUUAACGUUUCCCGGUACCGCCGUACUAAAGGAUGGAUAUUUGUCUUUAAACUCAGGUCUCUUCAUUCUCUUCUCCUUCUGCCUGAGUGUCAGUCAUGGACAGCACUAAAGUCACUCUGACAGUGAGAGGGACCACAGCACUGGGCGAGGUGAUCGCAGUGGUUGGCAGUUGUGAAUCCCUGGGCUGCUGGUGUCAUCAAAAAGCCGUGACCCUGCAGCCAGCAGAGGAGGAUGGCACCUUGUGGAGAGCAACCGUUGAGGUUCCUAGAGGGGGUGAAACCAAAUAUCGCUACUUCAAGGGAUUCAUUUUGGAAUCCAAGAAUGCAGGUGGGCCAUGUCAAGUCAUAGUCAGUAGAUGGGAGACCCAUCAGCUGCCACGCUCAUUGAGUCCCUCAGAACCUGAGCUUGUGAUUGACGAUGGACAUUUUGGAGUCCAUAAUGGCAUUGAGUGUGUGGACUCUGGCUGGUUGACGUGCCAGACAGAAAUUCGUCUCAGGCUUCAUUACUCUGUGAAAACUCCGGUAUCUAUUACUAAGAAAAAAUUUAAGAAGUCACGCUUCAGAUUGAAGCUGAUGCUGGAAGGUAUCGAGGAGGAAGAAGAGGAAAGUCCUUCAUCAUGGCAUAAGAUGACCACUACGCUGGAGUUCAGUAUGAUCAAUGACAGCGGAUAUAAGUCUCGUCAUUCCCAGCCAGAAUGUGGAUACGCCCUUGAGCCCUCCCAGUGGACCGAAUACAGUAUUCACACCAUGGACCCCGACAACCUAGAGCUCACCUUUGAGUUCUUUGAGGAGGACCUGAGUGAGACCGUGGUUCAGGGUGAUGUCCAUCCAGGUCACGUGGGCACCGCAAUCCUCUUGUCAUCCACUUUUGCGGAGAGUGGCAAAGAUCAGGGUGUGGUCACGCUACCCAUCAUGAGCCGGAAUGCCAGACAGACUAUUGGAAAAGUUAGAGUGGAUUACUUGGUGACGCGUCCUAUCCAAGGCUUUCAGUGUGACAUGAGCCAGUCUUUCACCAAAUACUGGAAGAAAAGGAGCGCUCUGGUUGUUGGACACAGAGGAGCAGGAAGCACACAUGCUCCCAAGCAUCAUAAGAUCAGGGAAAACACAAUUGCCUCAUUUCUAAGUGCGGCCAACCAUGGAGCUGCUUAUGUAGAGUUUGAUGUUCAUCUCUCUAAAGAUUUAGUUCCAAUCGUAUACCAUGAUCUCACCUGCUGUAUUUCUACUAAAAAGAAAAAUGACAAGAAAUCAAUGGUAUUGUUCGAAGUUCCUGUCAAAGAUCUUACAUUUGAUCAACUUCAGCUUUUAAAACUGGCCCACACAACUGCCAUGGAAGUUCAUGACCACAAAGACUUGCAGGAGGAAGAGGAGUAUAUAGAUGAGCACCAGCCUUUCCCUUCCCUUUCACAGAUAUUCCAGGCUGUUCCAGAUCACGUGGGAUUCAACAUUGAACUAAAGUGCAUUUGUCAGUUCAAGGAUGGGUCCUGGGAUGCAAAACUCUCCACCUACUUCAACAUGAAUCAGUUCUUGGACAUCAUCCUCACAUGUGUGCUGCAGAACGCUGGCAAUAGGAGAAUAGUCUUCUCAUGUUUUGAUCCUGAUGUCUGCACAAUGGUGAGGCAAAAACAGAACAAAUACCCCAUCCUGUUUCUGACCCAAGGAGUGACAGACCUCUACCCUGAACUCAUGGACAUCCGCUGCCAGAGCACUAAGAUCGCCAUGAGCUUUGCUCAGAGUGAGAACAUACUGGGAAUCAGCGCUCACACUGAUGAGCUCUUGCGAAACAUGGCGUUCAUCAGAGAGGCUCAGUCUAAAGGGCUGGUGGUCUUCUGCUGGGGCGACUACAACAAUGACCACGACAACAGGAUGAAGUUGAGGGAACACGGCAUUGAUGGCCUUAUAUAUGACAGAUUCCAUGACAGCCUUUGCAUUCAUGUCCGUGUAAAUCACGUGUGGUUAAUGGCUGUUCCCUGAUGGUCCGGGCAUAUCAACACAGGUCUGAUUGAAGCUGUGUUUCAUUCUGGUAAAACCCUCAAGACCUGCUUAGAGAAACUGUGUUCCUGUUUAUUGAAAUUUAAUGGAAUAAUUUACCCAAAAAUCAUGUUUUAUCUCUGCUCAUUCCAAACCUGUAUGUUUUUUCUUUUUAGUUUCGUUAGUUUGUCAUUUAUUUAGUGUUAGUUAUUUUCCUUGCAAUUUGGAAAAGUUGUUCAUUAUUUUUCGUAUUAGUAAACACACACGAUACUUAAAUAUAUACAAUAAUAACCUUUUACUACCAAAA